UACGGAGGGUGCAAGCGUUAUCCGGAUUCACUGGGUUUAAAGGGUGCGUAGGCGGGUUGGUAAGUCCGUGGUGAAAUCUCCAAGCUUAACUUGGAAACUGCCGUGGAUACUAUCAAUCUUGAAUAUCGUGGAGGUAAGCGGAAUAUGUCAUGUAGCGGUGAAAUGCUUAGAUAUCAGGGGGAACACCGGUGGCGAAAGCGCACGACUGGACCUCUUCUGACGCUGAGGCGCGAAAGCCAGGGGAGCAAACGGG
rnacentral:rRNA from 1 species